UGCAAGUCGAGCGAACUGAUUAGAAGCUUGCUUCUAUGACGUUAGCGGCGGACGGGUGAGUAACACGUGGGCAACCUGCCUGUAAGACUGGGAUAACUUCGGGAAACCGAAGCUAAUACCGGAUAGGAUCUUCUCCUUCAUGGGAGAUGAUUGAAAGAUGGUUUCGGCUAUCACUUACAGAUGGGCCCGCGGUGCAUUAGCUAGUUGGUGAGGUAACGGCUCACCAAGGCAACGAUGCAUAGCCGACCUGAGAGGGUGAUCGGCCACACUGGGACUGAGACACGGCCCAGACUCCUACGGGAGGCAGCAGUAGGGAAUCUUCCGCAAUGGACGAAAGUCUGACGGAGCAACGCCGCGUGAGUGAUGAAGGCUUUCGGGUCGUAAAACUCUGUUGUUAGGGAAGAACAAGUACAAGAGUAACUGCUUGUACCUUGACGGUACCUAACCAGAAAGCCACGGCUAACUACGUGCCAGCAGCCGCGGUAAUACGUAGGUGGCAAGCGUUAUCCGGAAUUAUUGGGUGUAAAGCGCGCGCAGGCGGUUUCUUAAGUCUGAUGUGAAAGCCCACGGCUCA
rnacentral:rRNA from 1 species